rnacentral:rRNA from 1 species
UACGUAGGGUGCAAGCGUUGUCCGGAAUUAUUGGGCGUAAAGAGCUCGUAGGCGGUCUGUCGCGUCGGCUGUGAAAACUCGGGGCUCAACUCCGAGCUUGCAGUCGAUACGGGCAGGCUAGAGUUCGGCAGGGGAGACUGGAAUUCCACGUGUAGCAGUGAAAUGCGUAGAGAUGUGGAGGAACACCGAUGGCGAAGGCAGCCCCCCUGGGCCAAAACUGACGCUCAGGCACGAAAGCGUGGGGAGCAAACAGG